GCCCGCUCAGAAACUCAAAGGAAGUUGACGGGGCCCGCACAAGCGGAGGAGCAUGUGGUUAAUUCGAUGAUACGCGAGGAACCUUACCUGGGCUCGAACGUAAGAUGACUGUAGGUGAAAGCUUACAUCUCUUCGGAGCAUUUUACGAGGUGCUGCAUGGUUGUCGUCAGCUCGUGCCGUGAGGUGUCGGGUUAAGUCCCAUAACGAGCGCAACCCCUACCUUUAGUUGCCAUCAGGUUAAGCUGGGGACUCUAAAGGAACUGCCUACGCAAGUAGUGAGGAAGGCGGGGAUGACGUCAAAUCAGCACGGCCCUUACGUCCAGGGCUACACACGUGCUACAAUGGCCGAUACAGAGGGCAGCUACCUGGUGACAGGAUGCAAAUCUCCAAAGUCGGUCUCAGUUCGGAUCGGAGUCUGCAACCCGACUCCGUGAAGUUGGAUUCGCUAGUAAUCGCGCAUCAGCCAUGGCGCGGUGAAUACGUUCCCGGGCCUU
rnacentral:rRNA from 1 species